rnacentral:ribozyme from 13 species
CUUUUCUCUUUUCUGUUCUCUUUCUUUGUUCUCUCUCUUUCCUCUUUCUGUGAUUAUGGCAGAUGGGAGAGUAAAAGAAAGAAAUGUUCUUGAAGGAGCUUUAAAAAAAGGGAAAACAGAUGAAGUAUCUCUCUCCAUAUUUGCGUUUUUGUUUUCAGAAUUUGUACAAUACACACAAGGAAAAGUAAAAACACAUGCAGAAUGGGAAGAAAGACUUUCUAAUGCUGGGAGGAAUGUUGGUCGAAGACUUCUUGAAUUAACAUGUUGGAGAGAAAAAGUUGUUAAAAGAGAAACAAAAAUUGUUUCUAUUCUCUCUUUUAUUCAUUCUUCUAUUUGGAAAACAUGCUUUGGGAAGGCAGCGGACUCUCUCGAGAAAUCAACUGAACACGAGGAUGAGUAC